AACUUCCUAAAAUAUUCAAUAGAAAAUUUUAAUAUUUAAACAUUAAAUAACUUUUUUUGUUAGAAGUUUUUUUUUUACAAAAUACGUAUUAUAACAAAUUUUGAAGCCAUGUAUAUACAUAUUAUGUUGGAGCAUUGCAAUGAUUUAUCAUUGGCUUUCAUAUAUCAUUCGGUUUUUGGCACCUGGUAUUAACUCCAACUAAUUUCUAACUAAUAAAUUUUUGCUGGGGUGGCGUUAGCACCGAUCUUCGGUAAGUAAUGCAAUCUUAUUACAAUAGGUCACUUAUAAUAUAUAAAAAACAAAAUAUGAACAAUAUAUCAUAAACUCACCGUUUUGAUUUCCCGGAUAGUACAAUUGAUGGGCACUACAGUUAGAAUAAGAAUUCCAUUUGGCAUAAGGCAGCUGAUUUCGGCGCGUUCUGGCACCUCAUUCCUCCAAAAAUCGAUGGAGUCCGUAGGGCAAGAGAGAGGAGCCAUUCUUGUGCCCUAUGUCCCGUAUUUCCAAAUAAUAUUUGCUCCGAUCAACUUUGAUAAUCUCUUUAUGAUCAGUUAAUAUAAGUAGUAUUUAUACCACCGUCUGUUAUUGAUAAAUCAUAUGAACGCUAAGGUUUAAUCAAUCUCAGUUGUCUUUAUAACGGCUAAAUUCCCUUUAUGCAAGGACUGUGAAUACUUC